GUGAAGUGAUUUACUCACGGAGCUGAAGUCAGUCGAAGAUACCAGCUGGCUGCAACUGUUUAUUAAAAACACAGCACUGUGCAAACACGAAAGUGGACGUAUACGGUGUGACGCCUGCCCGGUGCCGGAAGGUUAAUUGAUGGGGUCAGCGCAAGCGAAGCUCCUGAUCGAAGCCCCGGUAAACGGCGGCCGUAACUAUAACGGUCCUAAGGUAGCGAAAUUCCUUGUCGGGUAAGUUCCGACCUGCACGAAUGGCGUAAUGAUGGCCAGGCUGUCUCCACCCGAGACUCAGUGAAAUUGAACUCGCUGUGAAGAUGCAGUGUACCCGCGGCAAGACGGAAAGACCCCGUGAACCUUUACUAUAGCUUGACACUGAACAUUGAGCCUUGAUGUGUAGGAUAGGUGGGAGGCUUUGAAGUGUGGACGCCAGUCUGCAUGGAGCCGACCUUGAAAUACCACCCUUUAAUGUUUGAUGUUCUAACGUGGACCCGUAAUCCGGGUUGCGGACAGUGUCUGGUGGGUAGUUUGACUGGGGCGGUCUCCUCCUAAAGAGUAACGGAGGAGCACGAAGGUUGGCUAAUCCUGGUCGGACAUCAGGAGGUUAGUGCAAUGGCAUAAGCCAGCUUGACUGCGAGCGUGACGGCGCGAGCAGGUGCGAAAGCAGGUCAUAGUGAUCCGGUGGUUCUGAAUGGAAGGGCCAUCGCUCAACGGAUAAAAGGUACUCCGGGGAUAACAGGCUGAUACCGCCCAAGAGUUCAUAUCGACGGCGGUGUUUGGCACCUCGAUGUCGGCUCAUCACAUCCUGGGGCUGAAGUAGGUCCCAAGGGUAUGGCUGUUCGCCAUUUAAAGUGGUACGCGAGCUGGGUUUAGAACGUCGUGAGACAGUUCGGUCCCUAUCUGCCGUGGGCGCUGGAGAACUGAGGGGGGCUGCUCCUAGUACGAGAGGACCGGAGUGGACGCAUCACUGGUGUUCGGGUUGUCAUGCCAAUGGCACUGCCCGGUAGCUAAAUGCGGAAGAGAUAAGUGCUGAAAGCAUCUAAGCACGAAACUUGCCCCGAGAUGAGUUCUCCCUGAGACUUUAGGUCUCCUGAAGGAACGUUGAAGACGACGACGUUGAUAGGCCGGGUGUGUAAGCGCAGCGAUGCGUUGAGCUAACCGGUACUAAUGAACCGUGAGGCUUAACCUUACAACGCCGAA
rnacentral:rRNA from 1 species